UCAAAACCCAAGACCAAGACAAACCUGGAUAUUUUUAGAGACAACUUUUUAAUCAAAAGUAGGAUGUUCUGGAAUUUCAGUGCACUUCAAGGAAUUGCAGAAGCAUAGACUGGAUAGUGCUGAAUUAAAGUGUCAGCUCUAUUGUCUUCUGAUCAAUAAGAUCCCUUAAAGAACCCAGAGACACAGACAAAAGAAGAAAAGACUGUGCUGAAUUUUAAGUGAUCUGAAUUUGGCUGAGGAUGAGCAAGCAGCUGUAGCCUUCAAACAUUCUUCUCGAGAAUUCUACAGGAAGUCUGAGCAAAAGAGAGUACCUGAUUAAUCACCCUGUCCCAAACCAGCCACAGGAAGUCAUUGCUUCUGGAUGGGUCUGACUUUUGUAAUAAUGAAGGGAUCAAGAGCAGUGGUGCCAGUAACAGCCAAGCCGAGAGGGAGCCCGGCUGAGCCCAAAGGUGCACAAGGGAGUGGUAGGA